UGAAGGGCGGUCGCGGCGGCCAUCUUUGUACGGUGCCAGGCGGCGGCGUGGCUCAGCGAUUUGGAUUGGGUAAAUACGGGAUGGAUGUUCCUGAUGACCAGACAGUGUCGAACCAGGGAUCACAGUUUAAGGAUCUGGAGUAGACCAUUUAGGACUGAGGACUCCAGGUUGUGUUUACCAUGGAGAAAUACUGAUUCAUCAGGUGAGAGACAUUAAAGGGUCCAGGAUUUCAGGCAGAAGCAUGAAGAAAAAUGUUGUGUGGAUACAGAGCAUCGGCAAUUCUUUCAGUUUUUACAUCUCUAGUCAAGCUGUUCCAGCACAGCUGCAACACUGGCAUCUAUGUAGCAAUGUAGAAAAUUUCCCUAGUAGGUCCUGUCCGAUUACCACCCUGACAGACUACUCUUAAUUAUCAGCAAAGUAACGAAGGAGUCGUUGACAGUGCUAUCACGCAUUAUUUGAUCAUCAACACCUCGCUCACCAAUUCUCAGUUUAUGUUCUGUCAGGCCCACUCAGCUCCUGACCUCAUUAUAGCCUUGUUCCAAACCUGACAAAAAGAGAACUAAACUUAAGUGGAAGUGAUGGUGAUUGCUCGAAAUCAAAGCAGCAAUGAUCAUGUGUGGUGGUAUCAAGGAACUCCUGCAAAAUUGGAGUCAGGUGAAUCAGCAGGAAAAUUCUCUAUUGAUUGUAGUCAUACCUAACAAUGGGAAAUGACUGUAGUCAUUGGAAACCGAUCCACCCAACCACAAGACGUCACUGCAGAAGUUCCUUAGGGUUGUAUCCUAGGACCAAAUGUCUUCAGUUGCUUCAUCAAUGACCACAGUAGCAAUAUCUGGCAUUUACAAGAAGCACUGCAACAACUCAAGAUUUCUUAGCAUCUUCCAAACCUGAAACCUAGAAGAACAAGGGCAGCAAAUCUGUGGAAACACCAGCUCUUACAAGUGCCUUCACUUACUACCCUGACUUGUAAAUAUAAUCGUUAUUCCUUCGGUACUGCUGGGUCAAAAUCCUGGAACACUCUCGCUAACAGCAUUGGGGAAAUGACCUACAGCAUGUGGACUGCAGUGGUUUGAAACGACAGUUCACCACAACCUUCUCAAGGAAAAUUAGGAAUGACAGCAAUAAAUGCUGGCAUAACCAACACUAUCCACGUCCCAUGAAUGAAGAAGAAGAAUUUAAAAGUUAUACCUAAUUGUAAAAGAUUAAACAAACUUUUGAAAAGAGGAAAAAAACAAAAUCGAGAAAUGAUCCGAUAGAGAUCUUCAAGUCUACAAAAGGUUUGAUGGCAUAGGAGGGCAGAUGAUGUUACUGCUUGUGAUCAAGGGUCAUAAAUAAAAGAUAGUCACAAAUAAUCUACAAGAGAAUUAAAAAGAAAUUAUAUUUACUACAAAAGCAAUGCAGAGACUUGGACAAAUUAACCACACAGUUAGGAAAUUUAGGUUUGAUUAAUUAAGUAAGUGUGGAAUAAGGAGUUAUUAUGGGUGAUGGUAAUCAUGUAAAUACCAAAUUUUUGUUUAAAAAUUACUCAUUGUUUUCACUAACAUCCUUAAAGGAAGGAAAUCUGCCAUCCUUACCCGGCCUGGCCUAUAUGUGACUCCAAACCCAUAGCAAAAUGGUUGAUUCUUAACUGCCCUCUGAAAUGGCCUAACAAGCCACUCAGUUUAGGGAUUGGCAAUAAAUGCUGGCCUUGCCAGUGACACCCACAUCCUGAAAAUGAAUAAAAAAAAGAAUCAAUAUUGACAUUCACUCACUACUGAGCUGUUUACAAAAAAUGCAGAGACAUCGACAAGGACCCAAGUUGGAACCAUAAAAACGACAGCGUAACAUCCAAGGAUAUACAGGAGUCGAAGGUGAUGCAUCCGUGUAUCCCUCAGCACCUACAAAAAGAGCAAAAACAAAGAUGUGAGCAACUUCUAUGAAGCAGUGUUUAAUAUUGAUUAGUUCAGGAGGCGGAUAUAUUUGUUUGGAAAAUAGAUGUUACCCACAUUCAAUAAUUGUACUUUGGAUGCACUGUAAUAGCUAUAAUACAUACUCCAUGCUUAAAUUAAAAAUAAUGUAUUAAAAUAUUCUGUGAGAAUUUUAUGUUUUGAUGUGUUGUGCAUUAAAGCAAAUUAGCAUUCAUCUAAUUUCAAUGAAAAAUGUACAGUAUAUCUGGCAGCAUCUCUCCACAGUAUUUUCUGUUUUAUUUCUGAUUUCUGGCACCCACAAUACAUUGUUCUUGUACCAGUUCUCCUUUACUUGUUUAUCCAAGGGAUUUUAAUCAAACACUGAAUGGCCAAUGAUUAGAGACUUUGAUGCUUGGCAAAAUAUCACUUCUAAGUGUCUU